GAUGAACGCUGGCGGCGUGCCUAAUACAUGCAAGUCGAGCGAACGGACGAGAAGCUUGCUUCUCUGAUGUUAGCGGCGGACGGGUGAGUAACACGUGGAUAACCUACCUAUAAGACUGGGAUAACUUCGGGAAACCGGAGCUAAUACCGGAUGAUAUUUUGAACCGCAUGGUUCAAAAGUGAAAGACGGUCUUGCUGUCACUUAUAGAUGGAUCCGCGCUGCAUUAGCUAGUUGGUAAGGUAACGGCUUACCAAGGCAACGAUGCAUAGCCGACCGGAGAGGGUGAUCGGCCACACUGGAACUGAGACACGGUCCAGACUCCUACGGGAGGCAGCAGUAGGGAAUCUUCCGCAAUGGGCGAAAGCCUGACGGAGCAACGCCGCGUGAGUGAUGAAGGUCUUCGGAUCGUAAAACUCUGUUAUUAGGGAAGAACAUAUGUGUAAGUAACUGUGCACAUCUUGACGGUACCUAAUCAGAAAGCCACGGCUAACUACGUG
rnacentral:rRNA from 1 species